GGGGCUGGUUGAGUUGAUGAAGGAUGAACUUUUGACUUUUAACAGAUUUUUCACACUUUCACAGAGCAGUUCCUCAAAGUGAAUGGUGGUUGUCAACAGUCCCAGUCCUUGCUUAACUUCAUCGACUGACUAAAUCGCAGAACUUUCAACUGACCUCACAAUAAUUUUAACAUUUUGUGUUUAUACAGAAAGGAGUUUAGCUCUAAUGUAGACAUGCCCACAUGAUGAAGAGACAUUUGUUUUUACCUUGGAAAUGGAAAGUGAAUAAUGAUUUCUCCUCAUUCCAGGGCUCCUGAUGAAGCAAGUAUCCAUGAUAAAAUUCUAUACUCGAGCUCCAAGCAGUACUUAAAAAAUGCAAUGAACGGUAUCAAACAUGACCUGGAGUUCCAGUCGCUUGCAGAUAUUGCAGACAGAAAAUGUUUUACAGAGAAGUUUGGAAAGCAGAUAGUCACACUUGAGG